rnacentral:rRNA from 1 species
CGGUUAAAAAGCUCGUAGUUGGAUCUCGGCAAGUAGAGGGCGGUAUGCUUCGUAGCAUUACUGCCCUAUUACUUGUAGUUUUGCCAGAGGUUCCUGGGUGCUCUUAAUCGAGUGUCUAGGGAUGCUGGCAGGUUUACUUUGAAAAAAUUAGAGUGCUCAAAGCAGGCUAUUACGCUUGAAUAUUCGUGCGUGGAAUAAUAGAAUAGGAAGUUGUUUCUAUUUUGUUGGUUUUCGGAAAUCGACUUAAUGAUUAAUAGGGACAGUCGGGGGCAUUUGUAUUCAAACGACAGAGGUGAAAUUCUUGGACCGUUUGAAGACAAACUACUGCGAAAGCAUUUGCCAAGAAUGUUUUCAUUAAUCAAGAACGAAAGUUAGAGGUUCGAAGGCGAUUAGAUACCGCCCUAGUUCUAACCAUAAACGAUGCCAGCUAGCGAUCUGAGGACGUUUUUUUUGUAGACUCCUCAGGAAGCUUCCGGGAAACCAAAGCGUGUGGGUUCCGGGGGAAGUAUGGCUGCAAAGCUGAAACUUAAAGGAAUUGACGGAAGGGCACCACCAGGAGUGGAGCCUGCGGCUUAAUUUGACUCAACACGGGAAAUCUCACCAGGCCCGGACACUGGAAGGAU